CUGAAUAACUGAGCGAAUUGCUUCGGUCUUGUACCGGCAAUGAAUCUUUCAAGUGUCUGCCUUAUCAACUUUCGAUGGUAGUUUAUGUGCCUACCAUGGUUGUAACGGGUAACGGAGAAUUAGGGUUCGACUCCGGAGAGGGAGCCUGAGAAACGGCUACCACUUCUAAGGAAGGCAGCAGGCGCGCAAAUUACCCACUCUCGGCACGAGGAGGUAGUGACGAAAAAUAACGAGACGGGUCUCUUACGAGACGCGUCAUCGGAAUGAGAACAAUGUAAAGCCUUUAACGAGGACCUAGCGGAGGGCAAGUCUGGUGCCAGCAGCCGCGGUAAUUCCAGCUCCGCCAGUGUAUAUCUAUGCUGCUGCGGUUAAAAAG
rnacentral:rRNA from 1 species